rnacentral:rRNA from 1 species
AACGAACGCUGGCGGCAGGCCUAACACAUGCAAGUCGAACGCUCCGCAAGGAGAGUGGCAGACGGGUGAGUAACACGUGGGAAUCUUCCUAUCGGUGCGGAAUAGCUCAGGGAAACUUGAGGUAAUACCGCAUACGCCCUCAGGGGGAAAGAUUUAUCGCCGAUAGAUGAGCCCGCGUCUGAUUAGCUAGUUGGUGGGGUAAUGGCCCACCAAGGCGACGAUCAGUAGCUGGUCUGAGAGGAUGACCAGCCACACUGGGACUGAGACACGGCCCAGACUCCUACGGGAGGCAGCAGUGGGCAAUAUUGGACAAUGGGCGCAAGCCUGAUCCAGCCAUGCCGCGUGAGUGACGAAGGUCUUCGGAUUGUAAGGCUCUCUUGCCAGGGACGAUAAUGACGGUACCUGGAGAAUAAGCCUCGGCUAACUUCGUGCCAGCCGCCGCAGUAAAAC